rnacentral:rRNA from 1 species
AUUCCGGUUGAUCCUGCCGGAGGCCAUUGCUAUUGGGAUCCGAUUUAGCCAUGCUAGUCGUACGAGUUCAUACUCGUGGCGAAUAGCUCAGUAACACGUGGCCAAACUACCCUUCGGAGCACAAUACCCUCGGGAAACUGAGGCUAAUAGUACAUACCAUACCACCACUGGAAUGAGUGGUAUGCCAAACGCUCCGGCGCCGAAGGAUGUGGCUGCGGCCGAUUAGGUAGACGGUAGGGUAAC